rnacentral:rRNA from 1 species
GACGAACGCUGGCGGCGCGCCUAACACAUGCAAGUCGAACGAGCGAGAGAGAGCUUGCUUUCUCGAGCGAGUGGCGAACGGGUGAGUAACGCGUGAGGAACCUGCCUCAAAGAGGGGGACAACAGUUGGAAACGACUGCUAAUACCGCAUAAGCCCACAGCUCGGCAUCGAGCAGAGGGAAAAGGAGUGAUCCGCUUUGAGAUGGCCUCGCGUCCGAUUAGCUGGUUGGUGAGGUAACGGCUCACCAAGGCGACGAUCCGUAGCUGGUUUGAGAGGACGACCAGCCACACUGGGACUGAGACACGGCCCAG